rnacentral:rRNA from 1 species
UACGAAGGGGGCUAGCGUUGCUCGGAAUCACUGGGCGUAAAGCGCACGUAGGCGGAUUGUUAAGUCGGGGGUGAAAUCCUGGAGCUCAACUCCAGAACUGCCUUUGAUACUGGCGAUCUUGAGUCCGGGAGAGGUGAGUGGAACUGCGAGUGUAGAGGUGAAAUUCGUAGAUAUUCGCAAGAACACCAGUGGCGAAGGCGGACUCACUGGCCCGGUACUGACGCUGAGGUGCGAAAGCGUGGGAGC